rnacentral:rRNA from 1 species
AAUACAAAAAAUAUUCGCCAGAGAAUUACGAGCUAAACAUGCUUAAAACUCUAAGGACUUGGCGGUACCUCAAACCCACCUAGAGGAGCCUGUUCUAUAAUCGACAAUCCACGAUUCACCUCACCAUCUCUUGCCAACUCCGCCUAUAUACCGCCGUCACAGCUUACCUUAUGAAAGAUAAAAAGUUAGCAAAAUAAUCUAAAUAAUUAACAAAUCAGGUCAAGGUGUAGCUUACUGAGAUGGAAGAAAUGGGCUACAUUUUCUAUACUAGAAAUAACUACGGAAAGAUACCUUGAAACAGGUUCUAUAAGCAGGAUUUAGCAGUAAACUGGGAAAAGAGAGCCCAA